GCUUCCUUAAGCUCCUCAUUAGUGCUGCUCCUUGCAGCUCUAAUUCUAUCCCCUCAAGUUCUUGCUGACUAUGAGAAGCCCCCAAUUUACAAGCCACCUGUUUACACACCGCCAGUUUAUAAGCCCCCAGUUGAAAAACCACCAGUGUACAAACCUCCAGUUUACAAGCCUCCAGUUGAAAAACCACCUGUUUAUAAGCCUCCAGUUUAUAAGCCACCCAUUUACAAGCCUCCAGUGUAUAAACCUCCAGUUGAAAAACCACCGGUUUACAAGCCUCCAGUUUAUAAACCACCUGUUUACAAGCCUCCAGUGUAUAAACCCCCAAUUGAAAAACCACCCGUUUAUAAGCCACCAGUUUACAAGCCACCAGUGUACAAGCCUCCAGUGUAUAAGCCACCAGUUUACAAGCCACCAGUGUACAAGCCACCAGUUGAGAAGCCACCAGUAUACAAACCACCCGUUUAUAAGCCACCAGUUUACAAGCCACCAGUGUACAAGCCACCAGUUGAGAAGCCACCAGUGUACAAGCCUCCAGUGUACAAGCCACCAGUAUACAAACCACCAGUUUAUAAGCCUCCAGUUGAGAAACCUCCUAUUUACAAGCCACCAGUUUACAAGCCUCCUAUAGAGAAGCCACCAGUGUACAAGCCACCAGUGUACAAACCACCAGUGUACAAACCACCGGUGUACAAGCCCCCUGUUAAGAAACCUCCUAUUUACAAACCACCUUACCCAAAGUACCCUCCAGGCUCCAACUGAAGACACCCACCUGAUUUUGAAUUAAGUUAAGGGAUGUAUUAAGUAUAUG
rnacentral:lncRNA from 1 species